UACGUAGGGUGCGAGCGUUGUCCGGAAUUAUUGGGCGUAAAGGGCUCGUAGGCGGUCUGUCGCGUCGGGCGUGAAAACUCAGGGCUUAACCCUGAGCCUGCAGUCGAUACGGGCAGACUGGAGUACUGCAGGGGAGACUGGAAUUCCUGGUGUAGCGGUGAAAUGCGCAGAUAUCAGGAGGAACACCGGUGGCGAAGGCGGGUCUCUGGGCAGUUCCUGACACUGAGGCACGAAGGCCAGGGGAGCAAACGGG
rnacentral:rRNA from 1 species